rnacentral:sRNA from 12 species
CAGGCUCUGCUUCAACCGAAGCCUGGCGCUCUGCGUCAGAGAUUCAUGUAGGUUGGGUGGGGCCAC